ACUUUAAGGUGACCGCCGGUGUCAAACCGGAGGAAGGUGGGGAUGACGUCAAGUCAUCAUGGCCCUUUAUGACCAGGGCUACACACGUGCUACAAUGGUCGGUACAGAGGGUCGCCAACCCGCGAGGGGGAGCCAAUCCCUUAAAACCGAUCGUAGUCCGGAUCGCAGUCUGCAACUCGACUGCGUGAAGUCGGAAUCGCUAGUAAUCGCGAAUCAGCCAUGUCGCGGUGAAUACGUUCCCGGGUCUUGUACACACCGCCCGUCACACCAUGGAAGUUGAUUGCACCAGAAGUAGGUAGCCUAACCGCAAGGAGGGCGCUUACCACGGUGUA
rnacentral:rRNA from 1 species